rnacentral:rRNA from 1 species
AGCGAACGCUGGCGGCAGGCCUAACACAUGCAAGUCGAACGGAUCCUUCGGGAUUAGUGGCGGACGGGUGAGUAACACGUGGGAACGUGCCCUUUGGUUCGGAACAACUCAGGGAAACUUGAGCUAAUACCGGAUGUGCCCUUCGGGGGAAAGAUUUAUCGCCAUUGGAGCGGCCCGCGUCUGAUUAGCUAGUUGGUGAGGUAAAGGCUCACCAAGGCGACGAUCAGUAGCUGGUCUGAGAGGAUGAUCAGCCACAUUGGGACUGAGACACGGCCCAAACUCCUACGGGAGGCAGCAGUGGGGAAUCUUGCGCAAUGGGCGAAAGCCUGACGCAGCUAUGCCGCGUGAAUGAUGAAGGUCUUAGGAUAGUAAAAUUCUUUCACCGGGGACGAUAAUGACGGUACCCGGAGAAGAAGCCCCGGCUAACUUCGUGCCAGCCGCCGCUGUAACAC